rnacentral:rRNA from 1 species
GACGAACGCUGGCGGCGUGCUUAACACAUGCAAGUCGAACGGAAAGGCCCUGCUUUUGUGGGGUGCUCGAGUGGCGAACGGGUGAGUAACACGUGAGUAACCUGCCCUUGACUUUGGGAUAACUUCAGGAAACUGGGGCUCAUACCGGAUAGGAGCUCCUGCUGCAUGGUGGGGGUUGGAAAGUUUCGGCGGUUGGGGAUGGACUCGCGGCUUAUCAGCUUGUUGGUGGGGUAGUGGCUUACCAAGGCUUUGACGGGUAGCCGGCCUGAGCGGGUGACCGGCCACAUUGGGACUGGGAUACGGCCCAGACUCCUCCGGGAGGCAGCAGUGGGGAAUAUUGCACAAUGGGCGGAAGCCUGAUGCAGCAACGCCGCGUGCGGGAUGACGGCAUUCGGGUUGUAAUCCGCUUUCGCCUGUGACGAAGCGUGAGUGACGGUAAUGGGUAAAGAAGCACCGGCUAACUACGUG